GGGUAAGGUUCGUGGUGAAGAAGAAUCGAGGUUAACGCUGAAAGAAGUUGAUUUGGUGGUCCUACAGGCUUCCUGGCUUCCUAUGGUGACAUUGCCACCAAAGUGUAAAUUUGAAACAAACCAUGUAUCGCCAAAGCUUUUGAGACCAAUGGAAUGAGCUUCGGCAUGUUUUUAUUGAGCUUCGAUGUCCUCAUUU